CCUACGGGUGGCAGCAGUGAGGAAUAUUGGUCAAUGGGCGCAAGCCUGAACCAGCCAAGUCGCGUGAGGGAAGACGGCCCUACGGGUUGUAAACCUCUUUUGUCGGGGAGCAAAGCGAGUCACGUGUGACUCAUUGAGAGUACCCGAAGAAAAAGCAUCGGCUAACUCCGUGCCAGCAGCCGCGGUAAUACGGAGGAUGCGAGCGUUAUCCGGAUUUAUUGGGUUUAAAGGGUGCGCAGGCGGAGGAGCAAGUCAGCGGUAAAAUUGCGGGGCUCAACCCCGUAGUGCCGUUGAAACUGGUUUACUUGAGUGCGUGAGAAGUAUGCGGAAUGCGUGGUGUAGCGGUGAAAUGCAUAGAUAUCACGCAGAACUCCGAUUGCGAAGGCAGCAUACCGGCGCGCAACUGACGCUCAUGCACGAAAGCGUGGGUAUCGAACAGGAUUAGAUACCCCGGUAGUC
rnacentral:rRNA from 1 species